GCGGUAAUACGGAGGGUGCGAGCGUUAAUCGGAAUUACUGGGCGUAAAGCGCAUGCAGGUGGUUUGUUAAGUCAGAUGUGAAAGCCCGGGGCUCAACCUCGGAAUUGCAUUUGAAACUGGCAAACUAGAGUACUGUAGAGGGGGUAGAAUUUCAGGUGUAGCGGUGAAAUGCGUAGAGAUCUGAAGGAAUACCGGUGGCGAAGGCGGCCCCCUGGACAGAUACUGACACUCAGAUGCGAAAGCGUGGGGAGCAAACAGGAUUAGAUACCCUGGUAG
rnacentral:rRNA from 1 species